rnacentral:lncRNA from 1 species
UAAUAUUAAUAUUUAAUUAACAUUAAAGGAUGGUUUUAGAAUAUAAAGAAAAGAAUGUUAGUCAAUGUGCCUUGUACCACUUACCAUAAACAUUAAUUAGGCUAUAGCAAAACUGUAUAUACCUUUAGAAUUCCUCCCCUUCCUUUAGGUAUAAUGCUGAUUUUUCUCCCUCAAAUUUAAUCAACAUACAGGAGUAAAUUUGAACAUAUGAGAUACAUUGUGAAAGGAAAUAUUAUUCUUGUGUAUGUUGGGGUCGAACACUAAAAUAAAAAGAAUUUUUAAGGGGCAUAUCAAUUAAUGUCAAAAGACUGAUCAAGAAAACUAAUUUUUCUAAAUAAAAUUAAUACACCACUGUACUUUGAAAUGAUUUAUAUUUUGUUGCCCAUGCACUUAAAAUUUUUUUAAUUUUUUUCAAGUAAAGAUCGAAUAUUUUCUUGUUCAAGAAGCUUGUUGAUAGCUUUUAAUCUUCUCUGUGAAAAAAUGAUGCAAAGAAGAGUCCAGAACCUCGAUUUAUUUUCUUGUCAAAUAGACAAAGAUCGAAUAUUUUCUUGUUCAAGAAGCUUGUUGAUAGCUUUUAAUCUUCUCUGUGAAAAAAUGAUGCAAAGAAGAGUCCAGAACCUCGAUUUAUUUUCUUGUCAAAUAGACAAAGGUGACAACGAACUGGGGCUUUGUACUUGUAUCUUCUUUGAUCCAGCAGAUGAGGAUGGAAAGGAACCAGGGGUUUUUAUAACUGAAAUUAUUGAAGGAGGUGCAGUUCACAAACUUGGAUGUAUCCGUGUAUUUGACCAGAUUAUUAAAAUAGGUGACAUCAAUCUAAUUGGAUUGGAUGAAGCAGAAAUCGUCUCUACUUUUAAAAAAAUGGACGAUUCUCCUUUCCAGAUUGAAAUUGGCCGCGAACCACCUAAAGUGAAGUCAGAACUUAUCGAACUCCUCGAGUUGUCAGAGGAAAGGAAGAAAUAUUUUAUGGAUUCGCUCAUAGUACAGGAAAAAAUUAGAGAUAUCACUAUUGUGAGAGGACAAGCAAGUAUUUGUAGAAGUCCAAGAGUACCAUGGUACUGGAUGGCCAGCGACCUGAAAUUUGUUAUUGGGGCACUGAAAAUAUUAAUAGAAGAAGAUCAGGGAUGUAGAAAAAACAUCCAAGCUAUCUUUGAGCAGGCUAACAUUUUUCAAGACAAAUAUAAAGACAUGAACACAUACAAAGUGAAUAUGGAACAGAAACCUGAUGAAUCAAAUAAAGAAGGCACAUUUUUACCAUUGGCCCCAGAAGAAGAAUUAUUACUAGAACAAUUUAAAAUAAAACCUAAAGAGAUAAAAAAUGAAGAUUUAUCACCAGGGCAAUUAUUAGCCCAAGGGGAUUUCAAUUCAGAGACCCCAAUAAAAAAAGAAAAAGAAGAAGAUGAAAUAGUAGUGGAGGAAGAGAUUAUUAGCACUGGAAAACCUACAGAUGGAAAGGCUAAAAAGAGAUUUUCCUGGUUCCGCAAUAUCAAAGAAUGCAAGCUGUGGAACUUCUUUCAUUUUAAAAAACAUGACAAACAAGUAAAGAAUGUGCACAAGUGGGAAGAAAUUGAUCAAGAGGUAUUGGAUGAUUACUGUCCUUAUUCUACUGAAGCCCCUAAAACAUUGCCAACAGAGUGGACAAAUAUUGAAGUUGGUAAUUGGUUAUGGAGCAUUGGAAUGGAGGAGUAUGUUGUAAAAUUUUAUUGUAAAGGAAUAAAUGGUGAAAAACUCCUUACACUGGACAAUCGCUCUCUAAAAGAAAUCGAAGUCAACAGGAAGAAAGACCGCCGGAAAAUACUUAAGGCUAUUAAGAAAGUUAGAGAUUUUUGGGAAAAAAAUCAUCAUUUCGUCUUACUAUAG